CUUUUUGAAUUUUUUUAAAAGUCUAGCCUGCCCACUGAAUAAUUUUUUUAAAUGGCCGCAGUAUACUAACUGUGCAAAGGUAGCAUAAUCAUUAGUCUUUUAAUUGAAGGCUGGUAUGAAUGGUUGGACGAGAUAUUAACUGUUUCAUUAAAAUUUAUAAUAGAAUUUUAUUUUUUAGUCAAAAAGCUAAAAUGUAUUUAAAAGACGAGAAGACCCUAUAAAUCCUUAUAUUUAGAUUAUUAUAAUUUUGUAGAUUUUUUUUGUUAUAAUUAUUAAUAAUAUUUUAUUGGGGUGAUAUUAAAAUUUAAUAAACUUUUAAUUGUUAAAAUCAUUAAUUUAUGAAUAAUUGAUCCGUUAUUAGCGAUUAAAAAAAUAAGUUACUUUAGGGAUAACAGCGUAAUUUUUUUGGAGAGUUCAAUCGAUAAAAAAGAUUGCGACCUCGAUGUUGG
rnacentral:rRNA from 1 species